rnacentral:rRNA from 1 species
UACGAAGGGGGCUAGCGUUGCUCGGAAUCACUGGGCGUAAAGGGUGCGUAGGCGGGUCUUUAAGUCAGGGGUGAAAUCCUGGAGCUCAACGUCCAGAACUGCCUUUGAUACUGAAGAUCUUGAGUUCGGGAGAGGUGAGUGGAACUGCGAGUGUAGAGGUGAAAUUCGUAGAUAUUCGCAAGAACACCGGUGGCGAAGGCGGUUCUCUGGGCCGUUAC